rnacentral:rRNA from 1 species
CGCGGCCUAUCAGCUUGUUGGUGAGGUAGUGGCUCACCAAGGCGACGACGGGUAGCCGGCCUGAGAGGACGGACAGCCACACUGGGACUGAGACACGGCCCAGACUCCUACGGGGGGCAGCAGUAGGGAAUCUUGCGCAAUGGGCGAAAGCCUGACGCAGCCACGCCGCGUGAGGGAUGACAGCUUUCGGGUUGUAAACCUCUUUCAGCAGGGACGAAAAUGACGGUACCUGCAGAAGAAGCUCCGGCCAACUACGUGCCAGCAGCCGCGGUAACACGUAGGGAGCAAGCGUUGUCCGGAUUUAUUGGGCGUAAAGAGCUCGUAGGCAGUUCAGUAAGUCAGGUGUGAAAGUCCAAGGCUCAACCUUGGAACGCCACCUGAUACUGCUGUGACUAGAGUCCGGUAGAGGAGUGUGGAAUUUCUGGUGUAGCGGUGAAAUGCGCAGAUAUCAGAAGGAACACCAACGGCGAAGGCAGCACUCUGGGCCGGUACUGACGCUGAGGAGCGAAAGCAUGGGGAGCAAACAGGAUUAGAUACCCUGGUAGUCCAUGCCGUAAACGUUGGGCACUAGGUGUGGGGCCUUAUCAACGGGUUCCGUGCCGUAGCUAACGCAUUAAGUGCCCCGCC